GUCUCUUCCACUUUUAUCUCAACCGCACCCAAAAGCAUAGCCCGAUUCUCGCUUGGUCCACCUACGUCGACUGCUACGCCCGCUCCCGCCGCCAUUGUCUUCGCGUCGACGAGAAGCUGCUCCUCACCGUGCGCCGCAAGACGCGCCUCAGCCUCGUGGAGCAUUGGGUCAUCUAGGACGCAACAUCAACGACGGCUAGGCCCACGCCGCUCUGGUUUUGGGGGACGGAUUACCACAUGCAGGCGCUAGCGAGAAUCUGAGUGAGAUGUUCAACAUGGUGGGGAAGAAGUUCAACGAGGCCGUGUGCAAGAAUGAGGGCAUCGCCGAUGACGUUUAGCAGCAUCAUAUGAAGGCCUAACAUUAUUGACAAGAAUUGUUGGGGGCACUCAUGACUUCUAGGAGAUCACAAUUUAAAGCUUCUGCGCCAGGACUGCUACAUAAGUCAUCAGAAGAAGUUCAUCAACCAUCUUGUCAAUCAACUUGCUGCUCACCUAUUUCUGAAGAUAGCCUGCCAGCUCGAAGAACAGAUAAAAAUAUCGAGUGCCUACUCAUUUCUGAAAGCUGUAGAAUUGGAAUUGCAGGGCUACUUCUCAGCUUUUGAUGGCCGCCUGGUAUUGUUGCUGAGUUCAUCCAUCAAGACAACAUAUUAUUUAGCCUCUUGUCAUUUUCACUUGUGUUCUUACAAAAUAGAGUAUCUACUACAUGGAUAUAUAGGGCCGGUACAAUUUGAUUGAUCAAGCAGCAUCUAAAAUGUUUGAAGAGGGAUCAGUUGACGACAGCGAUUCUUAUCUUCAUGCUGUGAGGGAUAUCCACAUGUGCUUGGGAUAUUCUUUUGACUACCAAGCUGGAGUAAUCCAUUCAGGUUUUCAAUUUUUUUGUAGGUUCCCAAGCAACGUCACUAGAAUAUGUGUCAUCAUAUGGUUUGAUCGGGCAGAUAACAGAGCUGCACGAUGAGCUCCAGUACCUUCAGCAUGAGACCGAAAAUGUCCUUCCACGUGAGCGAGGAAGAUGCACCGACGAACUAUAAAGACAUAAUUCAAAUUUGAGGGGCUAUUUCUCUACUCCUUUAAGAAGCGAGCAAGGAUAGCUAAUGCCCGAGUCAUCGUCGGCGACUAUCGUGCGUGGGGCCAGCAGGAGCAGAAAGACUAGGGGAAGAGGUGCUAGAAGCAAGGAUCAGAGUGCUUGAAGUGUGUGAAAAAAUGAUUAUUCGCAUGCGUGCUAGCCGUUGGCGUAACAUCACCCAGCUGAUGGAGAGAUUUUAGUUUGCUAGAUGAAUCUUUAGACUUUGCAUGUAAUAGAACUGAAAGAUCACUUCAGAAUUUAGAAAACAUGUAUGCUAUUAUUUUUAUAUGUUCAUCACACAAAUUGUAUUCCAAAACAAUAUAUGUUGGAAUUCAAAGUCAAAGAUUGAUCUCUUUCUUUUAGUAAUCAAA